GGAUGCUGGAUGGUAGACCGAGCAGAGUUCUCCAGAGAACCCUGCUGGACUGUGCUUCACCUCUCCUGGAUCCUGCAACCGAUCCCUUUACUUGCUGAAACCCCACCCACUGUGGGUGGCACCGUUCCCUGGCCAGGAUCCUGGUCUGUAUAAAUGGAGAAAAAGCAGAGCAGAGCAGGUGUGUGCUUCCUGAUUGUGGAUGUCACGUGAGCAGCUGUUUCCAGCUCCUGCUGCCCUUCCUUCUCUGCCUGAUGGACUGCACCCUUGAACCGCGAGCCAGGAGGAAGAGGUCUCCGCAGGGGUCAGGGCAGGCAGCAGUCCAUGAAGAGCCGGUGGAGGUCUGCCACAGAGUGACUUGUCUGUGGUCAGCUCAUCUGCUCCUGGAGCAUCAUCAUCAAUGCAUCCAGCGGAGAUGCAAAGAAUGUGCUGAGGGACGGCAUCCGUGACAGCAGGAACAGCUAAGAAUCGGGGAGAAGAACCAGGAUAGACGUCAGCCGUGGCUCAGUGGGUAGAGAGCUUGCCCAGCAUCCGGGAAGCCCUGGGCCCCACCUCAGCACUGCACAGGAAGACCAGUGACACAGACCUCAGAUCCCAGCCCUCGGGAGGUAAGGGCAGGAGGAUCAGAAGUUCCUUGUCGUCUGUAGCUACUGUAGGAAAUUUGAGGCCACCCUGGGGUGCAGGAGACCCUGUCUCAAAAAUAAACAAAUAAA